UUUGAACGUUCGAUCUCAAAUCAGGUAGGACUACCCGCUGAACUUAAGCAUAUCAAUAAGCGGAGGA
rnacentral:rRNA from 3 species